rnacentral:rRNA from 1 species
AUUGAACGCUGGCGGCAUGCCUUACACAUGCAAGUCGAACGGUAACAGGUCUUCGGAUGCUGACGAGUGGCGAACGGGUGAGUAAUACAUCGGAACGUGCCCGAGAGUGGGGGAUAACGAAGCGAAAGCUUUGCUAAUACCGCAUACGAUCUCAGGAUGAAAGCAGGGGACCGCAAGGCCUUGCGCUCACGGAGCGGCCGAUGGCAGAUUAGGUAGUUGGUGGGAUAAAAGCUUACCAAGCCGACGAUCUGUAGCUGGUCUGAGAGGACGACCAGCCACACUGGGACUGAGACACGGCCCAGACUCCUACGGGAGGCAGCAGUGGGGAAUUUUGGACAAUGGGCGCAAGCCUGAUCCAGCCAUGCCGCGUGCAGGAUGAAGGCCUUCGGGUUGUAAACUGCUUUUGUACGGAACGAAAAGACUCUGGUUAAUACCUGGGGUCCAUGACGGUACCGUAAGAAUCAGCACCGGCUAACUACGUGCCAGCCGCCGCAGUAAUAC